UUCGUAGGGGGCGAGCGUUGUCCGGAAUCAUUGGGCGUAAAGCGCGUGUAGGCGGUCCGGUAAGUCCGCUGUGAAAGUCGGGGGCUCAACCCUCGAAAGCCGGUGGAUACUGUCGGGCUAGAGUGCGGAAGAGGCGAGUGGAAUUCCUGGUGUAGCGGUGAAAUGCGCAGAUAUCAGGAGGAACACCAAUUGCGAAGGCAGCUCGCUGGGACGUUACUGACGCUGAGACGCGAAAGCGUGGGGAGCAAACAGG
rnacentral:rRNA from 1 species